UUACACAGCAAAUCACCCUGCUGCCCCUUGCAACAAGCUCCCGUGGCUGCGCUGAGCACUGGCCACCCAUGAGAUCCAGCCACCAUGGAACAGCUUUAUACAUCCCUGUCAGGCAGGGAUGCUCACUGUGUCCCACUGACACUACCAGGGUGAUGUUGAGGCAAGCAAAAUGUAGAGCAACCCAGGCUGGAACUUCCUGCAGAAAUUGAGGGACAUCUGUCCUCUGCAGCAGGCUUGCCCUUGGAUUGCACCAUCUUUCCACCUCGGAAGGCUCCAAAUCACUUUAAGAGACAGGAAAAUGAAGAUGCAACAAGGCUGCAAAAGGGAGCACUUGACAUUAACCACCUCCCUGCAACAGGCAUCCAGAGAAUACAAGCAGUUGGGGGGAAAAAUGGAGAAUUUGGGUCACCAAAUUCAGUGCCCUGAGGCUGUGGGCAACCAGGCAGCGAUGCUUGUUACAUGGGGGCCACAAAAGGCGCAGAUAACACCGCAGCACCAAGAACAAACUUCAGACUUAUUGUAAGAGCCACAGCCAUGAUCUGCCACAGACAGGACAGAAGAGAUGAAAAGCAUGUCCACUGUUUGAGGUCCCCAGGAUAAUUACAGGAGGUCACUGAUUAUUCUAGAUGAGCCAUUACCUGCACUACAAAGCCAGACCAAGCCAACCCCACUGAUGACUUGAUCUUUGCAGGUGUGAUACCCUCAAGCUUAGUGCCUUUCGGUGCCUUCUACUUUCCCCAGCACUGGCAGUGCAGGACACACACUGCUGUGGACCUUGGGGAGGCCCUGAUGCUGAUCCAGCUCUUGGCUUGGUUUGUUGCUGUCCCACAGCGAAACCUGCAUCCUGCAGGACUGUUCCCACAGCCGGUUCAGACGCUGCUGGCCUCUUGCCCACUGUAGCUCUGUACUCCAUAUCUUCUGCAUUGUGGAACUGAAUGUCCAGUACUAACAGCUCCUGACUGCAAAAUCCUGGGCUUAAUGCGGUGGGGAGGGGGUGGAGACACCCUUUCACAUGGAAAAUAUAUAUUUUCUAUGAAAUCAUA